UUAUAUUGUCUUCAGCAG
rnacentral:misc_RNA from 1 species